rnacentral:ncRNA from 1 species
UAGAUUUGAAGUUGGAAAUCGCAACCAACGAGCUAUUUUAUAGAUAGUAACCAGAGAUGACAGGAUACGCCGUCCUACCAAGUCUA